GACGAACGCUGGCGGCGUGCUUAACACAUGCAAGUCGAGCGGAAAGGCCCUUCGGUGUCCUCGAGCGGCGAACGGGUGAGUAACACGUGAGUAAUCUGACCUUGUCUCUGGGAUAACUACCGAAAACGGUGGCUCAUACCGUAUUCGACAACAGUCUGCAUGGGCUGGUUGUGGAAAGUUUUAUCGGCGAGGGAUGUGCACGCGGCCUAUCAGCUUGUUGGCAGGGUAAUGUCCUACCAAGGACUCGACGGGUAGGCGUCCUGAGAGGGUGACCGGCCACACUGGGACUGAGACACGUCCCAGACUCCUCCGUGGGGCAUCAGUGGGGAAUAUUGGACAAUGGGCGGAAGCCUGAUCCAGCAACGCCGCGUGAGGUAUGACGGCCUUCGGGUGGUAAUCCUCUUUCAGUACCGACGAAGCGCCGAUGAUGGUGGUGACGGUAGGUACAGAAGAAGCACCGGCCAACUACGUG
rnacentral:rRNA from 1 species